GGUCGUUGUAACAUUUCUCGCCACAAAAACCACGGGCAGCGUUUUGCUCCAUUGAAGCCGCGGUUCUCGAAGGCGGGAGCCGCAAGCAGAGAGUUAGACGACCUGACCGAAAUUAAAUAUUUGGAGAAAAAGAGUUUUACUUUUACCUGAUAAAGACCUAAAACCCCCAACUCUGAAGCAAAUAGAAGUUGCAACAAUGGAGGAAGCACGUGCAAAGCCCGUGUGUGCUGAAGAAGCGUUGAAUCUGCUCAAUUGCGUAGUUGAAUCGCCUUAUGAUCAAGGGAAAUGCGUCCAUCUCUUGCAAACUCUGAGAGAGUGCGUGCUUAACAAGAAAGUGAAGAAGUUCUCAUUAGAUGAUCAGGAAAAACAGGAAGCAAAGCCAGUUGCCAAGAAAGCUUGAUAAAAAUUUUGUACCAGUGGGAUUUUCCUUUUUUGGUUUUCCCUGAAGCUAAUCCUCAUAUGUGAUAGUCACCUUAGUUUGUAGACAGUUAAAAAAGUGAUUGAAGUUGUCAAAGAAGUUACCCUAAUUUGGUUUUGAAUGGAAAUUCAUUUUCAAAUUACAAAGGCUGACUUGUAAUUUUUUGGCAUGAUACAACUUUAAUGCCGUACUGUACUUGUUAUGCUUAUUGUCAUAAGAGAUUCAUCAUGCAGUUCUCUCUCUCUAGAGUGCUUAUUGUAACUUAUCCAUGUAUGGAAUUUAGUACUCUAUAUGGUUCCUA